UCCACUGAAAGAGGAAGAUCUAGGGUGUCGAAGAGACCGCCAAGGAGAUCGACGGAUCAAGGAGGCGGGGGAAGUUGCCGGCACCGGCGGGCAGGGUACGUCACCAGUUGCCGAUAGUUCGCCGUCCUCAGUUCCCGUGAGAAAAUGUUCCGAAGUUUUGAACGUGCAUUGGAUGAUUUGGUUUGAGCUGUUGAUUCAUUAUUUGCAUAUAUGAAGGCCUCGUAUCAUCAAUAAUUCAGGGCAUUCCGUGGAGAAGCGCCAUCACGUUUAUGCUCACUUCGGGGAUGUGUCCGACCGUGUCUAAUCCAAUGUUGAGAGCCGCGAGCAAACCAGCGCAUCAAGUGACGAAGUACCAAAUUCUGGUUUUUAUCCAUCAAUUAGCUGUAAAUUUCCUCUGUCACUAAUUUAUUGAAGUGUAUCGUCGGUGCUGUCAAGGAUUUUGAAGAGGAUCAUGCAAGUGCCUUU